CCCGGGCCAUGCCAGCCACGGCCAUGGAGCUCUACAGCCUGCCGCUGGUCCUGCUGUUGUGCUUGCUGGCCGGCUCGUCGACGACCACGCUGCCCCGCAUUGACAGGGUGCGCCAGCAAGUUGACGGGGCGAACCGGCGAGUCCCAUCCGUCGGGCUCCGGCGAGUCCCAUCCGUCGGGCUCGUCAUGUCGUACGUUGGCGCUCCAGGCCUCCAGCUACUUCAGGCCCUAUAGCAUUUCGUUAACCUCUACGAGACUAGCACUGGCUGCUGAGAUGCUUUGUAGUUGCGACUACCCUUGAUUAAUCAACAUACAGGGUUUAUUAGUUCCUUGUAAUUAAUGUUGCGAAGUUGGAAAGAUAACAAACCGAUCACUGGAGAUGCAUCUCCUCGUGUAGCAGGAUUCCCUCCCAACACCAACAAACAUUGAGGUAGGCCUAAUAUGCAUGUAAAUAUAUGAUUAUUUCCUACCAAAAUAGUGAUGUGUAGUAUUUAGUUGAUCUAAUGGCCAAUAUGGAUCGGUCAAAUUAUUUAGCAAUACGGCAUAUUGGUAAUUUCCUAUUACAGAUAGAUUUAUUCGUUGUUAGUUUUAAUCGCAAUUAACGAUCUAAUUAAAUUAUUCCAUCACAUCUUACGCGGCACCGUUCGUCCGCUACUCACAACGUGACGCCGACGCAAGAACGCCCGCCACCUUCUUUGAUUUUCCUUUCAAAAGGGGCAACGGAGGGUUAGAUGGCAAGCAAGGCGGUGCACGCGUGCGACGGCCACAGACGGCGAACGGCACGGUGGACACCUCGGUGCACUCAGUGAGCCUCGGCGCAAGGAAGUGCGUCUGUGACCCACGUCGCCACUGCUCCCUGCUAGGGCUGCCGGAGUGCCCGGGCGGGUGAGGCGUCGCGGCAACAACGGUCCUCGUGCACCCGUGAAAAAAAAGGUCCUCGUGGAGGAAGGCACAUUGUAUCGCAUGCCCAUCGCCCUCGUGGUCCUCGUGGAGCUUUGUAAUUAAUCACACAGUGGGUUGAAGUAAUAAUACAAUACACCGGGGACGAUACGUGCCUGUAGCCAUCAACAGGCGUCUCC